CCUGGGCACCACAGACAUUCUCAAGUCCCCCCUGGAUGGGGGGCCCAGGUUGUGGCAAAGGGACACAGUGCAAGAAUAUGGCGACCAAGUACGGCUUCUGCCAUGUGGGGCUGGACCAGCUACUGAGACGGGAGGCUCAAAGGAGCACGCAGCAGGGCCGGCAGAUCUGUGACAUCAUGCUGCAGGGGCUCCUGGUGCCCGCAGUGGGCCGGGCCCCCAGUGUCCUCAUCGUGUUUGACUGCUCCAUGGAGACGAUGCUCCGACGAGUGCUACACUGGGGCCAGGUGGAGCACCGAGCACACGACUCGGAGCUGGCCAUCCACCAGCGCUUGGACACGCACUAUACCUUGUGUGAGCUGGUCUUGACCUUCUACCAGCGCAAUAACCUGCUCCAAAACAUCCCGGCAGAGGAAGCACCAGAGAACAUCUUUGCCAAGUGCUGCUCUGUCAUUGAAGAGUCUGCAGUGAGACACAGGGGCUGGGGGUGGGCCUUGCCCCUCACCGGAACCCAUGCAGUACGUGGGAAGGGUGCGU
rnacentral:sRNA from 1 species